rnacentral:rRNA from 1 species
UUAAAUUGAAGAGUUUGAUCAUGGCUCAGAUUGAACGCUGGCGGCAGGCCUAACACAUGCAAGUCGAACGGUAACAGGAAGCAGCUUGCUGUUUCGCUGACGAGUGGCGGACGGGUGAGUAAUGUCUGGGAAACUGCCUGAUGGAGGGGGAUAACUACUGGAAACGGUAGCUAAUACCGCAUAACGUCGCAAGACCAAAGAGGGGGACCUUCGGGCCUCUUGCCAUCGGAUGUGCCCAGAUGGGAUUAGCUAGUAGGUGGGGUAACGGCUCACCUAGGCGACGAUCCCUAGCUGGUCUGAGA